CGCAAGCCUGACGGAGCAAUACCGCGUGAGGGAGGAAGGCUUUUGGGUCGUAAACCUCUUUUAUUGGGGAAGAAGAACUGACGGUACCCAAUGAAUCAGCAUCGGCUAACUCCGUGCCAGCAGCCGCGGUAAUACGGAGGAUGCAAGCGUUAUCCGGAAUUAUUGGGCGUAAAGCGUCCGCAGGUGGUUGUACAAGUCUGCUGUUAAAGCGUCCAGCUUAACUGGAUACAGGCAGUGGAAACUGUGCGACUAGAGUUUGGUAGGGGUCACGGGAAUUCCCAGUGUAGCGGUGAAAUGCGUAGAUAUUGGGAAGAACACCAGCGGCGAAAGCGCGUGACUGGGCCUGAACUGACACUCAUGGACGAAAGCUAGGGGAGCGAAAGGGAUUAGAUACCCCUGUAGUCCUAGCUGUAAACGAUGACAACUAGGUGUUGCCCGUAUCGACCCGGGCAGUGCCGUAGCUAACGCGUUAAGUUGUCCGCCUGGGGAGUACGCACGCAAGUGUGAAACUCAAAGGAAUUGACGGGGGCCCGCACAAGCGGUGGAGUAUGUGGUUUAAUUCGAUGCAACGCGAAGAACCUUACCAGGGCUUGACAUGUCGCGAAUCUCGGUGAAAGCUGAGAGUGCCUUCGGGAGCGCGAACACAGGUGGUGCAUGGCUGUCGUCAGCUCGUGUCGUGAGAUGUUGGGUUAAGUCCCGCAACGAGCGCAACCCUCGUCGUUAGUUGCCAGCAUUCAGUUGGGCACUCUAGCGAGACUGCCGGUGACAAACCGGAGGAAGGUGGGGAUGACGUCAAGUCAGCAUGCCCCUUACGUCCUGGGCUACACACGUACUACAAUGCUGUGGACAAAGAGCUGCAAGCUAGCGAUAGCAAGCCAAUCUCAUAAACCACGGCUCAGUUCAGAUUGCAGGCUGCAACUCGCCUGCAUGAAGGCGGAAUCGCUAGUAAUCGCAGGUCAGCAUACUGCGGUGAAUACGUUCCCGGGCCUUGUACACACCGCCCGUCACACCAUGGGAGUUGGCCACGCCCGAAGUCGUUACUCCAACCCGCAAGGAGGGGAUGCCGAAGCAGGCUGAUGACUGGGGUGAAGUCGUACAAGUAGCCGUACCGGAGGUGUGCUGGAUCACCUC
rnacentral:rRNA from 1 species